rnacentral:rRNA from 1 species
UACGUAGGGACCAAGCGUUGUUCGGAUUUACUGGGCGUAAAGGGCGCGUAGGCGGCAAUUCAAGUCAUCUGUGAAAUCUCCGAGCUUAACUCGGAACGGUCAGAUGAUACUGCUUUGCUAGAGUGCAGAAGGGGCAAUCGGAAUUCUUGGUGUAGCGGUGAAAUGCGUAGAUAUCAAGAGGAACACCUGAGGUGAAGACGGGUUGCUGGGCUGACACUGACGCUGAGUGCGCGAAAGCGUGGGGAGCGAACAGG